GAUGAACGCUGGCGGCGUGCCUAAUACAUGCAAGUCGAACGCACAGCGAAAGGUGCUUGCACCUUUCAAGUGAGUGGCGAACGGGUGAGUAACACGUGGACAACCUGCCUCAAGGCUGGGGAUAACAUUUGGAAACAGAUGCUAAUACCGAAUAAAACUUAGUGUCGCAUGACACAAAGUUAAAAGGCGCUUCGGCGUCACCUAGAGAUGGAUCCGCGGUGCAUUAGUUAGUUGGUGGGGUAAAGGCCUACCAAGACAAUGAUGCAUAGCCGAGUUGAGAGACUGAUCGGCCACAUUGGGACUGAGACACGGCCCAAACUCCUACGGGAGGCUGCAGUAGGGAAUCUUCCACAAUGGGCGAAAGCCUGAUGGAGCAACGCCGCGUGUGUGAUGAAGGCUUUCGGGUCGUAAAGCACUGUUGUAUGGGAAGAUAAUGACUGUACCGGAAGAAUAAGCCCCGGCUAACUUCG
rnacentral:rRNA from 1 species